rnacentral:lncRNA from 1 species
AUUCCGAUACAUCGUCCUGUAACUGUAUAAAUUGGUACAAUACAGGUUCUGAAACCCAUUCCUACAAUACAGGUUCUGAAACAGUACAAAUUUCAGCUAGGCUAGCUAGCAUUGGUGCUACUGUAUAAAUUGUUGGACAACCAAUUAAUAUUUCUGUUGGCAUCUUGUACAAAUUGUUGCUUCACUUGCAACUAUCAAUCUGCAUUACUUCUCCCUCCAUUUCUUUUCCUACUAAACAUACUUUUUGCCCCUCAUAAGAACACCUACUACUUGCAGUUGCCACUUGCAACACAAACAAAAAAGAUAGAAAUAAUGGAAACGAUAGUUAGAUGAACUUAACAUAGCAGUCUCCACUUGUCCAUUGACCCAUCUGCUCAAGGGUUUUGUUUUGCCUUCCUUCACAGCCACAGCAAGAACAACCGGGCCGGCAACAACGGAGCCCACACAUCUUUGUACAAGGCCCUCGAUCACCAAUCUCAUGUCAACCCAUGCUGCCCUGCUGUGGUCCGAGGUCCGGCGGAAACAUGUGACCAUCGCCAGCCCUGUGGUGCGCCACAAGCAAGCUGCCCAACCUACCAACAAUUUUUCUUAGUGCUGGGUUUCGACGGUCUCAGGAGGAGACAUCAGUUCGAUGCACACGGUGAAACCAAAUCAUGAACAGUAAGGAAUGUAAUAUCAUGGACCGGCGCAAGUAAUCUGAAGCAACAGUAUGGUCUAAGGCAAUCAAGUGUAGCUCAUACCUUCUUAGAAAUGGCAUUACUCAAUGAUUUCUCGAAAAGAUGUACCUGAAAUUUCAUAACAGCACAUACAUUACAAAAUUAGCAAGUCCGUGUGUACACAUCUACAUGGAAGUAACACUACAGAAAAAAUCGGCAUGCAGCUAAGCAACAAUGGAGUAAAACACAUACUGACCACUAGGAUGCGGGUCUACCAGUCUCGACUGCGACGCUUCAAUCAUUCAGAAUUGGCUCCUGUUUGGUCGUUGGCUCUUCCUUGCCAAAGCACUCUUAAUCUGGUAGCCAAUUUUGGAUGCAGGUUCACUCAACUCACCUCUUAUGUUCUGCUCUGUUGUUCUGUUCCCCACACAAUCAAUCUGUAUUUUCCCUUCAAAAAAUUUCCAACUAUAUAAUAACCUUUAUAAAAAGAUUUUUAUCUUUUUGGAAACAACAUGUAAACCAAGAGUGAGCAGAAAUAGCAUUAGCUGGGAAAGGUACAGCUGGGAUGCCCACCAUGAACUAGCAUAGCAGUCUCCACUUGUCCAUUGACAAAAUCUGCUCCAGGGGUUUUGCCCUUUACAACCACCGGCGACUGGGGAUCUUCGUGCUAGGCCCUCGAUCACAAUCUACCGAGAACCCGUGCUGCCCUGCCCUGCUGCCGCCUGAGGUCUGGCCAUCAAGCAGGGUCGCUGCUAAAGCGAGCGAUGAAAGGCAGGAACCGACUUGUUGGGCUGAUGGAGCUCAUGAGGCAGAGUUGCAAAGUAAUUAAAGCCUCUCAUCCACCUUUCCAACUUCUGCAUCGACCCAUCUUCUGACGGUGAGCAGUAGCGUCACAGCUGGUGCUCUGUUACGGAAAAGCCUCUUAGCACAAUAAACGAAUGACAAACCGAAGAAUCCAACGAAUAACUAAAUAAAGCUCAGACAGUACCUUCUUAGAAAUGGCAUUACUCAUUAACUUCUCUCAAGCAAACUUCUCAUCCACCUUUCCUGCCGACUUCUACACGGACCCAACUUCUGACGGAAAGUAGUAGCGUCAGAGUCGGUGCUCUGUUACAGGAAAACCUCUUACCUUCUUAGAAACGGCAUUACUCAUUAACUACUCUGAAAGCUGUACCUGAAAUUUUACAACAGCAUACAAAAUACAGAAUUAGAGGCUAGAAGAGUAUGCAAGUGCCCUGCAGAGUAGAUAAAAAGCAUGCUGAUUAUUCAGGUGGAAUGGGGGUAAUUUUGAUGAACUGAACAAAACAGAGAAUGACUUUGAUGCCUCAGAGGUUAUGUAACUUGAGUAAAGUUACAUUUACAUGUACUUGCCUGAUUUAUGUACAGAAAGAUGCCACACAAAAACCUCGCGUGCCAGAUAUGCAUGGAUGGAUAGAAUUCUACAUUGUAGCUCAGACUUCAGAUUUUUUGUUCAUGAGGUAAACCAAGCCACAAGAGUAAAUUAACAGUCGGUUAAUAGGAGAAGCAAGGAGAAUACUACUGAUUUAUUUUACAAAGAGUAAAAUGCUCUUACAUAUACGUACCUUAUUUAUGUACAAAGGAGGGUGCCACUCAAGGAGUGGUUGCACGAACUCAGACAACCCUACAAGGCUAUAAGAAUUGACAGAUUCAAGGCAACCUGGCAUGGUAGAUUGAAACAAACAUGGUUCAGAACUUUAAAUAAUCUGGUAACAAGGUAAACUAAACCCGAACAGACUAUAAUUUACGGAACUAGGGAUGUAUGUGAUGAUAAUGCCUGUACUGACCAGUUUCAUGUCCAGAUGGUAGAUGCAUACUGAGACCUUUUGAAGCUUGUAUUGGCAACCCGGAAGCAUACAUGCUUGGAUUCUAAGAGGCUAGCUAGAAGAAUGUACAAGUCCAGGAAGUGCC